rnacentral:misc_RNA from 1 species
AAGUCGUAACAAGGUUUCCGUAGGUGAACCUGCGGAAGGAUCAUUAACACUAAUGAAAUCCAACACCUUUUGGAUCAACCCAACCUUUAGCGAACCGAUCGUUUUUCUUUCUCCUUGCCCCUUUUUUUAUCAAACCCAACUUAUCUGAUGUAAAGUGUCUGAUUUCAUAUUCUCCACGACGCCUUGAUUGGCUCGGAGGGAAUCAAAAUCUAACGCAAUACAACUCUUAACAACGGAUAUCUUGGCUCUC